rnacentral:lncRNA from 1 species
GUAACCACUUCCAGCGUAUAACGAAAAUUUGCUAUGGGGCUUGGUGAGAGGCCCUUUAAGAACUGCGACCGGUG